UUCAUAGCUCAGUUGGUUAGACUUAGAGCACCCGUAUAGUAAAGGAGAUGUCUUGAGUUCAAUUCUCAAUAAAGAAA